UUAAUUAUAGUCACCAUACAGUACUACAGAAGCCUAGAACUUACUGCUCUCAUCUAGCUGUAAUUUUGCUAAUCCGUUAAUCAACCUCUCCCUGCCCCCUCUCCCCGCUACCUGGAAGGGUCUGCCUUGUAAGCUAUAGGCUUUGGUUUUGCUGAGCUGAGUAUUCAGGUGGUCAUGGCUGAUAUUUUAGUAUAAGUGUUAGGAUGCUAGUCAGAUGACCCAAGGACAGGACGACAAGCUCUGCCCUCCACACAGAUGCAAUCUAAUGACAGAGGCAUCCAGUCGGCAGGUGCAAGGCCAUUUGCAGGGCCACACUGUGGAAGAU
rnacentral:lncRNA from 1 species